rnacentral:lncRNA from 1 species
GGAGUUGGAGUACUCGUCAUUGCGGUUAUAGAUCUGAAAAAAUAAACGUGAAACGGUGAGAAUGAGUAAAUUGAUAGAGACAACGUUUUAUGUUCAUCUUUUCCUCGAGAUUGAUGACUUAGCGGCGUUAGGGUUUACAGAGAAACGGCGCUAAGGUUUACAGAGAAGAAGCGGCGGCGCUAGUGUUUAGAGGAAGCGGCGGUGAGAACGUUGGUGACCACGGUGGCGAGGGCGACGGUUUGUUCGGAAAUAGUGGAAGCGGCGGCGCUAGGGUUUAGAGAAAUCGGCGGCGCUAGGGUUUAGAGGAAUCGGCGGCGCUAGGGUUAGAAGAAGCUGCGGCGACAACGGUGAGAAUGAAGUGAGAUAGAUAGCCGACGUUGAGAACGAUGGUUUGUUCGGAAAUCCUGGGAAUUCGAAAUCGCCUUUGAGAGGGAGAACUGUUAGGGUUUCUGAAUUUCGCGAAAAAUGAAAAAAAAAAAAAUCACCUUAUAUAUUGGGUAAAUAAUCCGGUUAGCUUUAAAAGUACAUUGGUAAACUUUAAGGUUUGGUCCGGUUUAGACGACUUAUUCUGGCUGAUAAUGUACAACAGACGACUUAAUAUUUAGUCGUCUGUUUUCAGACGACAAAAUAUUAAGUCGUCCUAGACCCUAAAAUGAACCCCUAAACUAAAAUGACUAGAUUAACUAACUAACCA